rnacentral:rRNA from 1 species
UACGAAGGGGGCUAGCGUUGCUCGGAAUGACUGGGCGUAAAGGGUGCGCAGGCGGUUGGGUGUGUCAGAUGUGAAAUCCCGAGGCUUAACCUCGGAACUGCGUCUGAAACUACUCGACUAGAGUACUGGAGAGGGAAACGGAAUUCACGGUGUAGCAGUGAAAUGCGUAGAUAUCGUGAGGAACACCAGAGGCGAAGGCGGUUUCCUGGACAGUUACUGACGCUCAGGCACGAAAGCAUGGGGAGCAAAAGGG